rnacentral:rRNA from 1 species
AUACGGAGGGUCCAAGCGUUAUCCGGAUUCAUUGGGUUUAAAGGGUCCGCAGGCGGGAAAAUAAGUCAGUGGUGAAAGCCUACAGCUCAACUGUAGAACUGCCAUUGAUACUGUUUUUCUUGAGUAUAGAUGAAGUGGGCGGAAUAUAUCAUGUAGCGGUGAAAUGCAUAGAUAUGAUGUAGAACACCGAUUGCGAAGGCAGCUCACUAAACUAUUACUGACGCUCAGGGACGAAAGCGUGGGGAGCGAACAGGAUUAGAUACCCUAGUAGUCC